CGAAACCCAUUCAGGCGCUGCUUGCUCGCACUCCCACAGAACUCUGAGCAGAGCCCGAGCCCUUUCCCAGCACACGGGGUUCAUUUCCAGACUUUGAAAGAUAUCCCGGAGACAACUCCAGAGGCCAAGGCGGGUCGGCUUCCUGCGUGGGCCCAGUGCCUAGCACUGAAAGGUGAAGGCGCUUCUUCCCGCUCGGAGGAAAGCCUCCGGCGGUUCGCGCUUCGCGGGCUGGGGAUGGAAACGCGCGUAGGGCUGGGGAGGUGACGCGCGGACAACGCAGGGGCGAGCAAACUACAAUUCCCAAGCAGCUGUGCGCCACGCGCGCGGCCGACUGUCGGGCGUGGCCGCGAGGGGCAGCCUAUAUAAGCUCUUGCACGCAGCUGCAGCGCCCUUUUUCCCCGCCGCAACCUUGUUGCGGGUUCAUCAUAUUUAAGGGUCUUCUUACCUCCCUGCAAGCCAUAACCCGCUAGUUGCUGCUACCAGCCCGCACUCGCCGGGGCUUUCUCCCAAGGCCUCGAUAUGGUGGUGAACGUGGCACGGAGGAGUCGGACCUUCCUUCCCAGUGGGCCCGAGCUCCAGAAGGGACCCUCGGUCUUGAGAGGGGUCGGAUCCCGCUGGGGCCGCGCCCUUCUCUCGCUUCGGCCUGCGCAACUCUGCGCUCUGGGCUGACAGGCGGAUAAAAAGAUCCCAUCAAGAUUGAGAAAAAGCACACCAAAUAUUGGCACAGCGUGGGCAGUGGGGCUACAGGAUGACUGAUUUAGUCAACAGAUUCCGGCGCACUUCAGCAGGUAGUAAUGAUGGACAGUUCUCAUUUUGCUGUCCAGAUGAAGACUCUGAGAUGACAGAAGGUGAUCUGUCUGGUGAUCGAGGACUCCCGGGGUCACAUCAGUGAUGAAAUGCAGGGGACCUGGUUGCCCCAAGUUUCCUGGCCGUGUGUGAUCCUGAGGAGGUGAGCUUGUUUCUGGAGCUGUGCUUUAAGAUUCAUGUUACAUGCAAAGCUGUCCUCGUGUGACUAUGGACCUAUGGAGUUGGGAGAAUCUCUACGGGAAG